rnacentral:lncRNA from 1 species
ACGAUUGUGUAUAAUUUUCAAUGCUAAAUUAUUACGAGUACUGUACUCAAAUGAGACUUCAGAAGUUGUUAGCGACGGUAUUAACAAUAAUACCAAAGUAAUGCUCCUAAUCAAUAUAUGAAUACAUUGGCUGAGAUAGUCAAAUUGUGUUGACAUUUACAAUUACAUAUAUUGGAAAGUAUAUAUGCAUACAAACAUAAGUGUCUAAAUUAGAAACGUACAUUAUAAUUUGUGUGUAGAACGAAGUGAAUACAAGCUUACCUAGAAAAUAAUAAGCUGGUGCAUAUUUCAAAGGCAACAAUGCCACCAGAAACGAAUACUACGAAUAAGCCAACUCGUUUGCCGCGCGAUGUCCUUUCAAUGCAUCAGUCAGCGCGAUCAAGUUUUAUGAUAACAUACAUUUUAGCCGGAAGCAAUGUUACAACGUCAUCCAAUUUUCGGAAUGAAAACAGGGAUAAAUCGAAAAAGCUCCAACUCAUAAGUCAGCAUUAUAGUUGUAAAAAAACGCAAUCUGCAAAACAUCAAUAUAUGGAUCUAAAUCAGUGUUCAUGUGAUGAUUGCUUUGCAUCACAUCAGAAACAAAUAACACAUUCAUUUAAUUUCCACCAGCCGUUGGAUAAUUAUGACGAUUUUAAGGUUGCAAAUUUACAUUUAGCCCAACCAGUUUGGUAGACGGAUGAACAUUAUAAAAAUUUGACCAUUAGAGUUCCCAAAGACUUUUGUCAGCAUAGUUGUUCUCGAUUGCCGAUGUCUGCUGCGCGAGCUGGAGUUGGAACACACAAAUUGACUGUUCAAAUUGAGCAAGGCGCAGUCGUCGUUGUCGACGAUAAAACGUGCACUGUUGAAGAUAGCGACAGUGACACUUGUGAAAUACAGUCAGAGGGCUUGAUAUUCCCUGAUGAGGAGCGACUGCAAUUAGAAAGAUGAGAUCUGGAUGUUGCCGAUAGAAAGUAAUAUUUUUGAAUGAUAAAAGUAAUCUUUCAUUUGAACAUUGGGUGCUAUAAGAGCAUAAGUAAGUAUGUAUGAAAGUGUAUAUAUUCUGAGUUAUGCUAUACUUAUCUGGUUAAGAGUGAUGGUUUUGAAUUCACCUACCUGAACAGUUGGCAGUUAUUUGUGAAAAAUAUACUUCACGGUUGUGUAUUUGUUGCUAAUUGCUAAUAGAAAAUACGUUUAUGACAGCUUCGUAUGGAUUAAACCUUUCGGUCGAAAUUUUUAUUUUAUGGCGGCCGCAAUAUUUGAGUUUCAUUGUUCAAUUUGUUUAUAAAAUAAAUAAAUAAAUAGUAACUAUACUCACAUUUUAUACCACUUCUUUCAUUGUUUUAUUACUAAACAGGUGCUAAAGAUAAAGAUGUUAAUAGCUCUAAAAGCAAGGAAUUGACGAGUCUGAAAAAAACAACGUAUGUAAGGCCCGCACUGCAUUCACCAACGAUCAGUUACAAACUUUGGAAAUGUCAUUACAACGAAGAAAAUAUUUAAGUCUACAAGACCGAAUAGAAUUGGCCAACGAACGGAAUUGAGUGAUUGUUAAGAUUCGAAAGACUUGGUAUCAAACCCGAAGAACAACAUGGAAACGGCAAAUUGCCGUGGUGCUUUUGAUCCAUUUAAUUCACCAAUUACAUUCAGUAAUUUAUAUAAUAUCGCAGACAUGGUAUACUGUCGUCAGAACAGUACCAACUUAACUCAGUAUCCAAUACUAAAUCAGAAAUACAAUGACAACAUGCCACGAAGCAAUGAUUCUUUAUAUGGCAUCGCACUAAAAUCUCGAGAUACAAAUCAGCAGGCUAACAGGCAAGAAAUCAUCAGAAACGAAUAUGGCAUGGAAGUUUAAAACGCUUAAAGUAAUGUUAUUGCGGCCAUAUGCAGGCAGCCUAGUUACAAAACAUCAAGCGUGAAAAGGCAGUGAAGCUUCUUACCAAAGGUUUCUGGAUGCUUUAGUGGCUGCCCAGUUUUUAUAAAGUUAUGUGUGGUUGCAAAAAGUGCCAAGGUCUAGGCCACAUUAGACCAUACUCAGGCAAAGUAAACAUCUGAAAUUAAUAUACGAGUAUUUGCACUAAAUUCGGUUUUUUACUUUCAUAGA